CUCAACGGUCAAGUCAGCUAGCUCCUGUGACGCUCAAGUUAACCCGACUUCUUCACGAGUUAGCUAUCCGCUCGCAUCGUACUUCAAAAAGUAACCUGAAAAACUUACCUGAAAGCUUCCCAGAAGGUCGGAGAACAGGGAUAUUGUUGGAGAUAAACGCUGUCCAUUAAAAGGAGAUUUGCUUAUGACAUUCACAGAUUCAUUACAUUGCUGAGACUUGGCAAAAACCUCAUUUCAGUGUCCAGACCACAGUGUUCCCGCUCCUCAGCACAAUCUAGUUUGACCAGGAUAUCACCAUCUGUUGUUAACAAGAGCAGUAAGCCCCCCACCUUCUCUCUUUAUUAAAAACAUGGACUGUGCAUAAGUUGGAAAUGCCUUCAGGACCACAGCCUUUGCAAAUGGUGAGCAUGGCCACUGGACAAUCUAGCUACCUGAGAGUUUUAUUGAAGGUGUUGGAACCACCUCCUAACUUUCACUAGACAAAGAACAGCUGCCAAAAUACCUGCUGCCUUCAAGUAAAAUCCCUGAGCACACGCUUCCUCUGAGUCCAUUAAUCCUUCCUGCAGCUGAACCCAUAACAAUUGUACUGAUUGUGUACCUGGACCUGCAAAUUUCUCUGGACUAAAGGACAAAUGAUUAAGUGGUUAUAAGAUAUACACAAAAAUACCUGAUGAGAUUUUGUCAGGACUUUUUGGACAUUUGUUAAAGCUUUGAGUCAUGGUGAUAACAAUUUGCGAAAACCAACUUUUACCUGCUGCUAUGAUUAUUUGAUGGCAGCUCAUCUUGGCAUAAAUAGGAAAGACGAUAUAAUGGAGAUCUGUGUCAUCAGCAAACUUGGUUGUUUUUGGUGUUCAUUUCCAGGCAAAUUAUAAUGUACUUUCAUAGAAAUCUAACUUUAACAGUUAAAUCACAGACUGUAGACAGUAUUGGACUGGGUCUGACUGACGACACCUGGUCUUUUAAAGCUAAUUUGUGGUGGUCGCCAUAUUGAAAAAACUGCGUGAAAUUAACUUUUGGGCAACCUAGAAAACAAAGAGGUUAAGCUGAGGUGAGCCUUAAGCCUCCUGGCAAACAGCUGCAUCGGGGUAUUCCUAACCAAAAUGGAUGAGCUAUUAAAAACAAAUCACCCUUGAUACUAGAGAUGGGAGAACUUGUAAGGCCUAGAUAGAGAUGAUAAUUUAACCAAGGGCUUUUAACUGUAUAAAUAUAUUAAAAAAAACAUCAACACAGAGCCCCCUAGUAUGAAUGACAUGGUCCAAACGUUAUUCUGCCAUUACUGUCAGCUCUUCCACAGAACAAAACAUGCACGUCUGAGAGAAAAUAGCUAACAGCUACACCUGACUCCAUGGAGAGAUCUGUCUACAAGUCUGUUGAAGCUGUCACUAUAGCAACAUGCAUGAUUCUACUUCCACAAAAAAAAACUUAAUAUGAGGAUAAAUCAAGUUACCAGUUUUGUUUUUAGUUUGCUAGUCUUAUCUGCUCUGGUAUCAUUACAAACAGUGUAUGCUAAUGGCUAAUGUUUUUGCCUUUUGACUCACUUGUCCCUUCAGAGUUACCAUAGCUGUCAAAAGCAGUUGCUGAUAGUGUAAUCUGGCUUGCUGUGGUAAUAAAACAAGAGCCAUGGCUAGAAGGGAUUUACCUCUGUGUACCGUUUAUUAUUUUCUUACUUUUUAUUAUUUCUUACCAAAUUUAUCCAGUUAGACAAACCCAGAGAGGUCUAGCACAUAUGGCACACCAAAUCAGACAAAAUAUUGCUGCUUAGAAUAGCAUGUGCGUGUGUGAGUCAUCCCUACUUGAUACAGUUUGAACCCAAAAAAUAAA